rnacentral:sRNA from 1 species
GAUACAACUACCGAAACAAUCUCCA